CAAAGGUUUGUCUCGGUGAGUGUUUGUUGUUGCUCUGUUGAGCUUAGUCCUUGUGUCGUAUUUGAAAGAAAGGCCUUUUGUUUUCGAGGAGCUCUCAAGUUAACAAUGGCACGUCUAAGCGCAAGAGACUUGCUAGAUUCUGUAUUUGCUUACGAAUUUGAUUGCGUAUCUCAUCAUUCUUGGUGAAGCUGGGUGGUGUCCUGAAAAAUACAUCAAUGGAGGGCAAGACCAUCCAGAGGUUGGGGGAAAUCGUUCAACAAGUUUCCUACUGAUAUUUUCAUUGAUAGCCGGGGUGCUGGGUGCUUCGUCAACUUUGCUCGGGUUCAUUCAUCAUCGCACAUGGAUGAGUCAGAGCUCAACUGUUGCAACUCUUUUAGGCAAUCAUCUCAUGGGCAUUCACGGCUCUUGCAUUUGGCCUUGCAGUCAAAGAGAUCACGCUGGGAGAUCAUAGAGGAAAUCGUCUGGUGAGGAGAAUAGUGCUCGGCCCAUUUUCUGCUUGGAGAACGAAGAAGUACAGCAACCGAAAUGGUGGAGUCGCAUCAACCGCCUCCGGUUCUCAACGUCGAGUCAUCGUUGUUUUCCGGUGAAUAUUGAAACUUGCUGGAAUUUCCUCUGGAGAUAGGUCAUGUUUGAUAUAUGUUGGAAAGUAAUGAAUUGGAAUUGAAUUAAAUUGCUACUGUGCAAUGUAAUGAACCGUAAUAAUAUUGAGAGGAAAAUGGCGAUUUUUUGUUUUAACUCGAACAUGAAGGAGCAUGAUUAAUAAGUUGGACGUAUUUACGCCAAAGCGAAAUACGAUCGAGGCCACAGAAGACUUCCGUACUAGCCAGUGUGUUGUUCACAAGUCUGCUAGGGGGAGGUAGAAUUCAACAUGCUGCAUGGAGCUGAAACUUACUAUCGAAUCUCCUCAGUACCAGCAAAAUAUAAUGUACAUAUGUCUACUAAAUCGUGCAGGUAGUAAAUUUAAAUAUCCGAAACAUGGAGGCGAUCCGAUUGAG